UACGUAGGCAGCGAGCGUUGUUCGGAGUUACUGGGCGUAAAGGGUGUGUAGGCGGUUUUCUAAGUUUGGUGUGAAAUCUCCCGGCUCAACCGGGAGGGUGCGCCGAAAACUGGGAGACUAGAGUGCGGGAUGGGAGAGUAGAAUUCCUGGUGUAGCGGUGAAAUGCGUAGAUAUCAGGAGGAAUACCGGUGGUGUAGACGGCUCUCUGGACCGCCACUGACGCUGAGACACGAAGGCGUGGGUAGCAAACAGG
rnacentral:rRNA from 1 species